GACGAGCGCUGGCGGCGCGCUUAACACAUGCAAGUCGAGCGAGAACCGGACCUUCGGGUCCGGGGAAAGCGGCGAACGGGUGAGUAACACGUGGGUAACCCACCCUUGGUACUGGGAUAGCCCGGGGAAACCCGGAUUAAUACCGGAUGGCCCAACAGCUCCUCGGGGCGGUUGGAAAAGGUAGCUUCGGCCUCCGACCAAGGACGGGCCCGCGGCGGAUUAGCUUGUUGGUGGGGUAACGGCCCACCAAGGCGACGAUCCGUAGCUGGUCUGAGAGGACGAUCAGCCACACUGGGACUGAGACACGGCCCAGACUCCUACGGGAGGCAGCAGUGGGGAAUCUCGCGCAAUGGGCGAAAGCCUGACGCAGCGACGCCGCGUGGGGGAAGAAGGCUUUCGGGUUGUAAACCCCUUUCAGGAAGGACGAAGCCACUCGGGUGCAUAGCCCAGAGGGUGACGGUACUUCCAGAAGAAGCCCCGGCUAACUACGUGCCAGCCGCCGCCGUAA
rnacentral:rRNA from 1 species